GGGUUACGUAAGAAAGAAAAUAAGAGACAUGUGGGAGAGAUCCAUAUAUAAGAUAUGGAUCAUUCACAUCUCCUGCCUACACAUAGAAAAUAGAAUAAAAACUGACCUCCUGCGAUUUUAGAAUCGGGAAACAUUAGUUUAAAUGCUUUGUUGAAUAUGUAUCGGCAGAUGACAGGGGUAGGUUUAGUUCUGCUAUCAACUCGCACAUCAUAACCUCUACUUUAGUGGUGGAACGUUGCCGGUUCAGUUCAAUAGUGUACAAGUCUUUGUACUUUUGAAGGCAUUUCCUUUUCUUACGCGCUUGGUCUUGUUCAAAACUUUCAUUGACUUUUUUGCGUUUUUGAGAAACGCCGGCAUCCUGAGGCUGAUCCAUGCCGACCAUGAAAUAAACUUGAUCGCUAUCAUUUUGCGCUUAAAAGAGCAGCGAUUCCCAGUCAGUAAAAGCGCCGCGAUUCCCAGUCAGUAAAGCGCCUUUUAGAUACCGAUCGCCGUAAACGGAAGCAAUUAUGAUUUUUUUCCGGGUUGGUAGAAAAUCCGUACUUUUUCAUGACAAAUCCGUAUUGAGUAAUUUUAUGAAAAAAUCCGUGUAAAAUACGGACAAUCCGUACAAGUAAACACCUCUGUUGUUACUUGCCAACUUCUGUGGCACUAUCUACAUAUAUCUUUGAUUUAGUUGUUAUGAAUUCCCUGUAUGAUCUUCUCAUUUCUGUGUUGAAUUGUUUUAUUUUUUUGCUGAAAUAAGUUUGCCUCGUCCGAACCAAAUAAUGGUGAAAAGGAUGCAUCCUUUAGUACUGCAUAUACUGGCAGUUCAUCA
rnacentral:lncRNA from 1 species